rnacentral:tRNA from 1 species
GGAUCUGUGGCUUAACUAGUCAAAGCACUUAUCUAGUAAACAGGAGAUCCUGGGUUCAAAUCCCAGCAGUGCCU